rnacentral:rRNA from 1 species
UACGUAGGGUCCGAGCGUUGCCCGGAGUUACUGGGCGUAAAGCGCGCGCAGGCGGCGGUGUUGGCCCGGCGUGAAAGCCCCCGGCUCAACCGGGGAGAGUCGUCGGGGACCGCACCGCUUGAGGGCGGUAGGGGCUGGUGGAAUGCCUGGUGUAGUGGUGAAAUGCGUAGAGAUCAGGCAGAACACCUGGGGCGAAGGCGGCCAGCUGGGCCGUCCCUGACGCUGAGGCGCGAAGGCGUGGGGAGCGAACGGG